UACGUAGGGUGCAAGCGUUGUCCGGAAUUAUUGGGCGUAAAGAGCUCGUAGGCGGUUUGUCGCGUCUGCUGUGAAAACUCGGGGCUUAACUCCGGGCCUGCAGUGGGUACGGGCAGACUAGAGUGCGGUAGGGGAGACUGGAAUUCCUGGUGUAGCGGUGAAAUGCGCAGAUAUCAGGAGGAACACCGGUGGCGAAGGCGGGUCUCUGGGCCGUAACUGACACUGAGGGACGAAAGCUAGGGGAGCGAAUGGG
rnacentral:rRNA from 1 species